UAAUUAGUAUUUAUUAAUAAUAUUUAAUUGAAAUAACAUUUUUAUUUUAGGUAAGUAAAGUUUAUUAAAAUUGAUGAUAUAUUAUAGAGUAAUAGUACUGUGAAGGAAUUUUGAAAUACAAUGAAAUGAUUUUUUAUGGAAGAAAUAUAAUUGUACCUUUUGUAUCAGGGUUUAUUAAUUAAUGAUAAUAUAUUUUGGUAUCUCGAAUUAAUUAGAGUUAAGUAUUUAUGAAAUAUUAUGUGUUAACAUAAUUUUUAAUAAUUAUUUGGUGAUGAAAUGUCAUUCGUUUAUUAAGUUAUCUAGUUUUUUGAGAUUAAAUUUAAUUUUGGUAUUAAUUUUGUUAAUAAUUUUUAUUUAUUGUAUUAGAUGAUUAUUAAUACUUAUUAUCUUAGGGAUAAGCUUGAGAUGAUUAUAUUAUUGUUUUAUUUAAGAUUGAUAUAAGCUUUAAAUUAGCUAUUAUUUUGAGUGUGUAAAAAUUAUAUUUUAUGAAUUUUUUAUUUUAAUAUAUUAAUAUAUCAAAAUUAUUAAAUUAAUAUGUGGUUUAAUGGAAUAAUGAUGAAAUUAGUAAAUGGAAUUUUUAUAAUUAAUAUUAAUUGUUAAUUGAAUUUAAGGAAUUAGGCAAUAUAAUUGUUCGCCUGUUUAUCAAAAACAUGUCUUCUUGUUUAUAUAGGAAGUCGUGCCUGCUCACUGUAAAAUAAAGAGCCGCGGUAUUUUGACCGUGCAAAGGUAGCAUAAUCAUUAGUUUUUUAAUUAAGAACUGGAAUGAAGGGUUUGACGAAAUAAUUACUGUCUUGAAAUUAUUUAUUGAAUUUUACUUUUGGGUUAAAAGGCUUAAAUUAUGAUGGGGGACGAUAAGACCCUAUAGAUCUUUAUAUUUUAUUAUAAAUUAAUUGAUUUAGUUGUUUCUUUAUAAUAUAUAAUAAAUUAUUUGAUUGGGGUGAUGAGGGAAUAAUUUAACUUCUCUAAGAAUAACAUAGAUAUAUGAAAUAUUUAUCUUUUAAUAGGAAAUUAAGAUUAAGAUACCUUAGGGAUAACAGCGUUAUAUUAUUGGAGAGAUCUAAUCGAUAAUAAUGAUUGCGACCUCGAUGUUGGAUUAAAAUUACUUAUGGGUGUAAAAGCUUAUGAAGUUGGUCUGUUCGACCAUUAAAUUUUUACAUGAUCUGAGUUCAAACCGGUGUGAGCCAGGUUGGUUUCUAUCUCUAUUUAAUAAAUUUAUUUUAGUACGAAAGGACCAAAUAAAUUAAAUAAUUUAUUUUGUUGAAUUCUUUU
rnacentral:rRNA from 1 species